rnacentral:lncRNA from 1 species
AUAAUAAAAAAAAGUUUGAAAUAUUGCAAGAAUUGCCAAACUGAGAAACAGAGACAGGGAGUGAGCACAUGCUGUUGGAAAAAUGGUGCCCACAGACUUGCUCAGCACGGGGUUGCCACAAACUUUCAAUCUGUGAAAAUACAAUAUCUGCCAAGCACAAUAAAACAAAAUGCAAUAAAAUGAGGUAGGCCUGCAUCUGACAACUGUCAGGAAAUAAGUCUCCUAGCUACCCCUUGAAGGGCAAGUGAUUUCUGAGGCUGAGGUGUGGGACUGAAGAAACAAAGUCUAUUUCUCAGAAGGCAGUCAUCAUAAUUCUCACCUACCUUGUAGCAAUCGUUAAUCUUUCAGUUUGUGUCAUUUAA